rnacentral:rRNA from 1 species
UGGGGAAUAUUGCACAAUGGGCGCAAGCCUGAUGCAGCGACGCCGCGUGGGGGAUGACGGCCUUCGGGUUGUAAACCUCUUUCACCAUCGACGAAGGUUCGGGUUUUCUCGGAUUGACGGUAGGUGGAGAAGAAGCACCGGCCAACUACGUGCCAGCAGCCGCGGUAAUACGUAGGGUGCGAGCGUUGUCCGGAAUUACUGGGCGUAAAGAGCUCGUAGGUGGUUUGUCGCGUUGUUCGUGAAAUCUCACGGCUUAACUGUGAGCGUGCGAGCGAUACGGGCAGACUUGAGUACUGCAGGGGAGACUGGAAUUCCUGGUGUAGCGGUGGAAUGCGCAGAUAUCAGGAGGAACACCGGUGGCGAAGGCGGGUCUCUGGGCAGUAACUGACGCUGAGGAGCGAAAGCGUGGGGAGCGAACAGG